GAUGAACGCUGGCGGCGUGCCUAAUACAUGCAAGUCGAGCGAAUGGAUUAAGAGCUUGCUCUUAUGAAGUUAGCGGCGGACGGGCGAGUAACACGUGGGUAACCUGCCCAUAAGACUGGGAUAACUCCGGGAAACCGGGGCUAAUACCGGAUAACAUUUUGAACCGCAUGGUUCGAAAUUGAAAGGCGGCUUCGGCUGUCACUUAUGGAUGGACCCGCGUCGCAUUAGCUAGUUGGUGAGGUAGCGGCUCACCAAGGCAACGAUGCGUAGCCGACCUGAGAGGGUGAUCGGCCACACUGGGACUGAGACACGGCCCAGACUCCUACGGGAGGCAGCAGUAGGGAAUCUUCCGCAAUGGACGAAAAUCUGACGGAGCAACGCCGCGUGAGUGAUGAAGGCUUUCGGGUCGUAAAACUCUGUUGUUAGGGAAGAACAAGUGCUAGUUGAAUAAGCUGGCACCUUGACGGUACCUAACCAGAAAGCCACGGCUAACUACGUGCCAGCCGCCGCAGUAA
rnacentral:rRNA from 1 species